GGGGAAUAUUGCACAAUGGGCGAAAGCCUGAUGCAGCAACGCCGCGUGAGGGAUGACGGCCUUCGGGUUGUAAACCUCUUUUAGUAGGGAAGAAGCGAAAGUGACGGUACCUGCAGAAAAAGCACCGGCUAACUACGUGCCAGCAGCCGCGGUAAUACGUAGGGUGCAAGCGUUGUCCGGAAUUAUUGGGCGUAAAGAGCUCGUAGGCGGUUUGUCGCGUCUGCUGUGAAAUCUGGGGGCUCAACCCCCAGCCUGCAGUGGGUACGGGCAGACUAGAGUGCGGUAGGGGAGAUUGGAAUUCCUGGUGUAGCGGUGGAAUGCGCAGAUAUCAGGAGGAACACCGAUGGCGAAGGCAGAUCUCUGGGCCGUAACUGACGCUGAGGAGCGAAAGCGUGGGGAGCGAAC
rnacentral:rRNA from 1 species